rnacentral:rRNA from 1 species
UCGAGGAUCUUCGGCAAUGGGCGCAAGCCUGACCGAGCGACGCCGCGUGCGCGAUGAAGGCCUUCGGGUUGUAAAGCGCUUUAGGAGGGGAGAAAAGCCCGCAAGGGUUUGAUCUAUCCUCAAAAUAAGCACGGGCUAAGUUCGUGCCAGCAGCCGCGGUAAGACGAACCGUGCGAACGUUGUUCGGAAUAACUGGGCUUAAAGGGCGCGUAGGCGGGCUGUCAAGUCUGGGGUGAAAUCCCACGGCUCA